rnacentral:lncRNA from 1 species
AUUUUUCAGGCAACCUUUUCAUCAUUUCUCAUCUCUUCUUUCAAUGCACCACAAGAGGGCAGUGUUUUAUCAUAUUCUCCUUGAAUUAUAUAAUACCAACAGUGGAAUGAGAUGACUUCCAGAAGUAGAAAUUGACUAUUAUGCCAAAACUGUUCACCAAAGUUGAUAAAACUCUAGGUUUACAAUUGUACCCCAAGGUCAUGGGACUGGACCCCAUCCCAUAGUAAGUCAUCAGUUUAGCAAUGAUAAAGAAAAUAACCUUCUGAAAAUUUGUAUAGAUCAGAAAUAAAGUAUUUUUUGUGGAAGACUAUUUUUAAGUAUUGAAGGUACUAUUUCCUUUCUUGAAUUCAUAUUGCAGAUGUACGGUGUGGAUUUAUUGGUUUAUCUCUGCAAACCUUAAAGUAGAAGAUUGCAAGGGCCAGGUGUGGUGGAUCACGCCUGUAAUCCCAGCACUUUGGGAGGCUGAGGCAGGAGAAUUGCUGGAACCUGGGAGGCAGAGGUUGCAGUGAGCCGAGAUCACACCACUGCACUCCAGCCUGGGUAACAGAGCAAGACUGCUUCAAAAAAAAAUUUUUUUUAAUUAAAAAAAAAGUAGAUGACUGCAGCAAAGAAGAGAUUUAUUAGCUCUUCCUUUCAAGGUAUCUGUGUACUGUAUAUAAACAACAAAAGCUGACCAAGAGUGGUACUUGUGCUAGGCAUAUUAGUAACUGCUUUGUAAUUGAAAGCAAGAAAUAUCAUAAACAAGCAUUAGAUGGCUAACUACCAAACAAGUUAAGUCCCUUAGGGCAGGUAGAUUCAGUCUUUUCCUUCUCUG